CCUACGGGAGGCAGCAGUGGGGAAUAUUGGACAAUGGGCGCAAGCCUGAUCCAGCAAUGCCGCGUGAGUGAUGAAGGCCCUAGGGUUGUAAAGCUCUUUCGCACGCGACGAUGAUGACGGUGGCGUGAGAAGNAGCCCCGGCUAACUUCGUGCCAGCAGCCGCGGUAAUAAUCACUA
rnacentral:rRNA from 1 species